rnacentral:rRNA from 1 species
AAGUAAAAGUCGUAACAAGGUUUCCGUAGGUGAACCUGCGGAAGGAUCAUUAAGAUAACGGCGCCGCACGGCGCCAGAGGCCGCCGCGGGGAAAGGGCAAAGCCCAGCCCCCGGCCGGACGGCCGAUUCUCCCACCCAACCCCCUGCGUACCGAACCAUGUUGCUUCCCCCGGGGGCCACGCCGCCGGGGGGAGGGCCCAGUGCAGACGAUGCAGUCCAACCAGGCCCCGGGCCGCACCAGUCUGACGGCCGUCGCGCAAGCAGCGACGGAGCCAACGAGCGAGAGAGUAAGAAUCGUGAAAACUUUCAACAACGGAUCUCUUGGUUCCCGCAUCGAUGAAGAACGCAGCGAAAUGCGAUAAGUAAUGUGAAUUGCAGAAUUCAGUGAAUCAUCGAAUCUUUGAACGCACAUUGCGCCUCCCGGCAUUCCGGGGGGCAUGCCUGUUCGAGCGUCUCUUGGAAAUUCCCUCGCGCGGGCGAAAAGCGCGGUCAUGGCUGCGGUGGCGUUCCCGGGCAGGAGGCCACCGCGCUGGAAUCCAUGGGCGGACGCCUGCCGCGUUGCCGAGCGUGAUAUAGUACGCACUGGCGCCGGAACGCGGCGAGGAUGCCGGCCCUGGCCCCUCAGUUUGGGCGGGGGGGACAAAGCGAUUGGGAACUCCUCG